ensembl:lncRNA PPP1CB-DT PPP1CB divergent transcript
AGACACUUUGGAUCCGGUAGGCAUAGCUCUCCCACAGGAGACUGUUUAGGCCAUGCCUGGCAUCAGUAACUCAGGCUGUUUCCCACACUACAGGCCAGCACUGUGGGCUCUCAGUUUAUUGGGAAAUGGAAAUAAGAGGGAAGGACAAAAGUCCACUGGGAAGCAGACUGGACAGAAAGGAACUCUGAGCAGCUAAACUCUGACUAAUCCCAGGGUAUACCUGCGUUUUCUCUUCACCAGACAAACUGCGGCCUGGACCAGCUGGUGAAACAUAAUUCUGAAUCCUGCCCACAGCCUUCGGUGGUUUUGGAUGAAAGGCCAGCGCCUUGGGAGCCCUGCGUUUGAUUUCAAGUUUUAAGGCCGGCACUGGUGGAGCAAUGAAUGGUGAAAGCUCUCCCCUUAAAGGAGCACAGUUGCCUUUAGGUGACUGCUAACUCAGGCUUUUGCUGAGGACAGUGUUUACUUUGUGAGCUUAAUGACAGGGCUGGCUUUCUGGGAGUGUUGCAAUGAAACAGACUCAGACACAGGCCAUCAUGGGCCUCCUCCCUAGCAAGGCCGCCACGGCUGGCAUCUCAAGAGCAGUCCGUUGAACUUGGGAUUUGGGUGUGAGACACAGUUUCAUCAGAAGAAUUUAAACCAAAGUCUACAUUUGCCCUCUAGAUAAAUGUGUGUGUUCAGCAGCAACCACAACUCCUUGCCUCAUUCUCUUGGUUGAUUAUGUGACUGUGAGAAGAAAAGCAAAAGCAAAAAUGCGAAGCGUAGCUAUGAUGCUAUUUUAGUUAAAAAUAUUCUGGUAGAAUUUGAAGGUACCAUAGAGAUUACCUACAGAUGGAAAAAACUGAAGGUCAGAGAUGGGAAGUGCCUUGUCCAAGAUCACACAGCAUAUAAGGGAAGAAGUAGGACUGAAAUCCAGAUUUCUCUGUUCCUGUUCCUGUUUUCUCUUUUCUUUUUUUGAGACAAGGUCUCACUCUGUCGCCCAGGUUGGAGUGCAAUGGUGCAAUCUCGGCUCACUGCAACCUCCAACUCUUAGGCUCCAGAGACCAUCCUACCUCAGCCUCUUUAGUAGCUGAGAUCCUGGCUAUUUUUUAUUUUUGGUAGAGAUAGGGUUUCACCAUGUGGCCCAGUCUUGUCUUGAACUCCUGAGCUCAAACGAUCCACCCACCUUGGCCUCCCAAAGCGUUGGGAAUAUAGUGUGAGCCACUGCACCCGGCCAGGUCCUGGUCUCUUUUCAUUAUUAUACAGCUGUCAACAAUCAUGGAGAGUUCUUUUUCCCUUUUGUUGGGUUCUUGUUCCUUUGCAAAGUCUAUAAAGAACCAAGAUGAUCCAGGAAAUUCAGGGAGUCCUCAUUCACUUCCAAAGGCAGUUUGUUGUCUGUUGGCUGUGCUGUAUGAAUUGCUGUUUCAAUUAAGUUUUUCAACAUUUCCUAUGAAGGCAUGCAAAUGACCACUGAUUCUAAAUAAACCCAUUUAGGUAUUCAGGGUUUAUAAAUAUAGAGAAUCUUGCUUUCUGCCUCAUUCUUUCUGUCUUCCCUGGCAUUCUUCCCUCUAUCCACCUCCACUGAGAUGCAUUUUUAUAAAAGACUUUACUUAGGACACAUAUUUUGAUGAAAUCCUUAACAUUUUUCUUCUUUCCCAAUUUUUAUAUUAUCAUUGUUAUAAUGCAUUACAAUAAUUUAUAUUUUGCAAAUUUGUUUUAAUAUGUUAAUUUUGCAAUGUAACUAUCUCAAGGCUUCUAAUGAGGAGAGGAGGAGGCCACAGAUAGGACUAGAUAGAGAGACUUUUAAAGAUGUGGGUAGGGUGUUUGUGAAUGUCUGGGCAGUGGAAUAUUUAUGCAGCACUGUGGGUGUUUUGAACCCUCUGGAAACUAACAAGCAAGCUCCACACAUAAACUUGGUGGAAGUCCUCCAAACUUUGGACAACACAGAGGCCUUUCAGAAGUCUGAACCAAGUCCAAGUCAAAUUACAGCCCAGGGCACUGGUGCAAAUGAGAGGCUGAGCAGAUCAGAGGAAAUGACACUUGUCCAGGACCCCAGAAACCCAGGGCCUGGUGCCGGGUCUACCACUUAGCAGUAAUUUCCUUGUCAGUAAAAAGGGAUGAUAAUAGCUCUUACCUCAUGGAGUUGCACUGAUGAGAAAAAUAAAAUAAUGUAUGUAAAGUCCUGAGCACAAUGCCUGCCAUAUAAUAGCACUUAUUAUUUGUAUGAGAUGCCAAUAGGCUUUUGGAGAAAAA